UCGAGAAUCUUCGGCAAUGGGCGAAAGCCUGACCGAGCGACGCCGCGUGCGGGACGAAGGCCUUCGGGUUGUAAACCGCUGUCGGGAGGGAUGAAGUGCACGGGGGCUAUCCCCUGUGUUUGACAGAGCUCCGGAGGAAGCACGGGCUAAGUUCGUGCCAGCAGCCGCGGUAAUACGAACUGUGCGAACGUUAUUCGGAAUCACUGGGCUUAAAGGGUGCGUAGGCGGCGCUGUAAGUCAGGUGUGAAAU
rnacentral:rRNA from 1 species